GCUACUAAAGCCAAAGUGAAGAGAAGCGCUCCUGAGACAAAGAAACGUUGCGGCUGUGGUUGUGGAGGUUUUGGAUAUGGCGGUUUCGGCGGAUAUGGCGGUUUCGGCGGAUAUGGCGGAUAUGGCGGAUAUGGUGGUUUUGGAGGAUAUGGAAGACUUGGAGGAUACGGAUAUGGCUACAGACAUGGUAACGGACCACUUGGCUACGGAGGCCAUGGACUUUUAGGCGUAUUUUCGACUCCAUAUCCAUACUACGGCUUUGGUUACCAUUACUAACAAUUUCAGACAGUAACUCCCUCAUCUUCCAAAGACACACACAUCAAUGCCAGCUUCCAUUUUUAAAACCAUCAACAAAUCAAGUGGUAAAGCGACGGGCAGCCAUCUUUCCAGCACCAAUCGACGGUCGUUUUUAUUUUGCUUUCUAUGAAACAACAAUACUGAGAUGGCGAUUUAGAUUAUCAAAGUAAUAACUGAUUUCCAGUUAAUGAAGAUAGCUUAGAAUAUUGAUUAAUUUACAGAAAUUUAAAAACUUAAACAAAUUUAAGAUCCCUGAAUGACCUUUUAAAGGAAAAUAAUAAAAUAUUCCUUAAAGCAUGUGAAGGAUUAUUAAAAUAAAAUCUAACUUGUA